ensembl:lncRNA
AAAUGUCUGCGCAAAAGUGAAGGUUUCAUCGAGUUGUGAGAGAGUACUUUUGCACAUAUAACACACUGUGGCCGAGUAGAUGAACCAGUACCAAUACAAGUGAACCCCAAAGCAAUGUUGUUCUCAUCAUAUUUGCGUCUUUUUGAUGAUGUCGUUUCUCUAUCUGUGUGCUUUCUCAUGUCAGGGCGUCGAAGCUCUGAAUCAGACUCACCGUCACUGUCAGUGGCCAUGCUAGUAGCUUGGCUAGCAACAAAUGUACUGCUGCUUGCACCCUGAUCCAAGGACUCGUAAGAGCAACCUGGGCUGCUGUCACCGGCAGGUGCAUCCUCGAUCGUAGGCCUACUGGUAGAAGCUGAUGGUGUCUCUCUGGAUGGGGGAUUAACUCUUUUUCAACCGCUUGUCCAAUCGGAACGAGCUCCCGCUUCCCUACACAGGGCAUCAGCAAGUGGAAUUCUGACAAGGGAGUUCAGCUAACCGUUGUGCCUAUGUUUUGACUAACGGUCACUAACCUACCUGUAGCCAUUUUUGGCAGUGUAAUUAUUUCGCUGAAUAUGGGUAUACAUGAGUAUUUUUGGCAACGUGACUUGGCUAUUCAGACUAGAUUUCAUGUCUAUUUAUAGCUCCGUUUGAAAAUGUAAUGGGCUUUUUCACUUUGAAGACGCAAAUCAAAUGUUCUCCCCGCGUACCCCCUGAACCACUUUGCGUACCCCUGGGGGGUUGGCGAACCCCUGAACCACUUUGAGUACCCCCUGAACCACUUUGCGUACCCCUGGUGGUUGGCGUACGCCAGUUUGUGGGCGGAGUCACCAGUGAACACACGCACACACACACACCUCCACUGAAGGCAGACUGCCUAUUGUUCUUGUCCCCGUCCCAAAACCAUGUGUCUGCAUACUCUGUGUGAUAUCAGGUGUGUGUGUGUGUGUGUCUGCGUGCGGGUUUCCUCAUUCUUAGCAUCGUUCUGUGAUUGUUAUCACACCGGUGUGGCCGUGACGUGACUGACUGACCGUGCUGUCGUGACGCCAGGGAGGUGGUGCCACUCGUGGUGUGUUGCGUCUCUGUGUGAUAUCAGUUGUGUGUGUGUGUGUGUGUGUGUGUGUGUGUGUGUGUGUGUGUAGGCAUGCAGGGUGUUUUGCGUCUCUGUGUGAUAUCAGGUGUGUGUGUGUGUGUGUGUGUGUGUGUGUGUGUGUGUGUGUAGGCAUGCAGGGUGUUCUGCGUCUCUGUGUGUGAUAUCAGGUUCAGACUGCCCAGCGCCCCAGCAGAACCCGUCAGACCUGUUAGGAUCUGGAGCUUUUUGAGCGCCCUGACGCAGACCAGCAGCAGUCCCAAUAUGAGAGGAGGAGACAGCGCCUUCACCUCCACCGCCACUCUCAG